CCUAAAUAUUAUAGUACAGUAUAAUAAUUUUUUUAUAGCAUUUAUCUGGUAUUAGAUAUUAUAUGUAAUCUAGAGAUGAUUUAAAGUAUACAAGAAGAUGCACAUAAUAUAUAUAAAAUGGCAUAGCAUUUGCACAAGGGAUUUGGCAUCUAUAGAUUUUGGUAUCCACAGGGGAUCUUGAAAUGAAUUCCUCAUGGAUACAGAGAAGAGAUUGUCUGUGUAACAUAUAUAAAUAAUAUAUAUUAUUUAUUAAUCACUAUUAAUACAAAAGGAUUCUAUGGCCUUUUUUAGUAAUAAUUCUGUGUUCUCCUACAAAAAGUACACAAAUAUUUAUGCCUAAAGAGUGUUACAGAAGGCUAAAAAUAUUAUAUACUAAUAUUUAUUAAAAU
rnacentral:lncRNA from 1 species